rnacentral:tRNA from 1 species
GGGGACAUAGCUCAGUGAUGGAGCACCUGCUUCUCAAGUGCAGGGCCCUGGGUUCAAUCCCAGCAUUGCCA